rnacentral:rRNA from 1 species
AAGUGGAGCAAUCCAUGAGUAAAGUGGCGACCGGGUGAGUAACACGUGACUAACCUACCUUCGAGUGGGGGAUAACAUCGGGAAACCGAUGCUAAUACCGCAUAACAUCGCAAGAUCAAAGCAGCAAUGCGCUGGAAGAGGGGGUCGCGGCUGAUUAGCUAGUUGGCGGGGUAACGGCCCACCAAGGCGAAGAUCGGUAUCCGGCCUGAGAGGGCGCACGGACACACUGGAACUGAAACACGGUCCAGACUCCUACGGGAGGCAGCAGUGGGGAAUUUUGCGCAAUGGGGGAAACCCUGACGCAGCAACGCCGCGUGGGGGAUGAAGCUUUUCGGA